GUGGGGAAUAUUGGACAAUGGGCGCAAGCCUGAUCCAGCCAUACCGCGUGGGUGAAGAAGGCCUUCGGGUUGUAAAGCCCUUUUGUUGGGAAAGAAAUCCUGUCGGUUAAUACCUGGCGGGGAUGACGGUACCCAAAGAAUAAGCACCGGCUAACUUCGUGCCAGCAGCCGCGGUAAUACGAAGGGUGCAAGCGUUACUCGGAAUUACUGGGCGUAAAGCGUGCGUAGGUGGUGGUUUAAGUCCGUUGUGAAAGCCCUGGGCUCAACCUGGGAAUUGCAGUGGAUACUGGAUCACUAGAGUGUGGUAGAGGGAUGCGGAAUUUCUGGUGUAGCAGUGAAAUGCGUAGAGAUCAGAAGGAACAUCCGUGGCGAAGGCGGCAUCCUGGGCCAACACUGACACUGAGGCACGAAAGCGUGGGGAGCAAACAGGAUUAGAUACCCCUGUAGUC
rnacentral:rRNA from 1 species